UGGGGUCACACAUUCACGAUUUUUACUUCCGUCCUUGACAGGACCAUUCCAGAUUAAAAUUUAUUAAAAGUCUGAUCAAGAUCCUGUGAAUCGUGGAUGGAAAUUCAAACUUUAAUUAAAAUUUGUACAAAAAAUAAUUUGAUCACGACAAUAAUCAGAUAGUGUUUAGGAAGCGUCGAUAUUCAACCGUUUCCAAGCGAAUAUGUCCCGAU
rnacentral:lncRNA from 1 species